GAUGAAGAACGUAGCGAAAUGCGAUAAGUAAUGUAAAUUGCAGAAUUCAGUGAAUCAUCGAAUCUUUGAACGCACAUUGCGCCCGCCAGUAUUCUGGCGGGCAUGCCUGUCUGAGCGUCAUUUCAACCCUCAUGCCCCUAGGGCGUGGUGUUGGGGAUCGGCCAAAGCCCGCGAGGGACGGCCGGCCCCUAAAUCUAGUGGCGGACCCGUCGUGGCCUCCUCUGCGAAGUAGUGAUAUUCCGCAUCGGAGAGCGACGAGCCCCUGCCGUUAAACCCCCAACUUUCCAAGGUUGACCUCAGAUCAGGUAGGAAUACCCGCUGAACUUAAGCAUAUCAAUAAGCGGAGGA
rnacentral:misc_RNA from 1 species